AAUUAAAAUUAAAAUCAUAGACCAUUCAAAUUAUAACAAUUUUCUUACAUUUAUAAAUAGAUUUGUGUCUCUCUAUAGUUAAUUCUUGGAUUAUAAUUUGACCGAAAAUCUCUUGAAUUUGAAAUAAAAGGAAAUGUUAUAUUCUCUUAUCUAUAUUUGACCAAGAAAAUAUUUAAUUAUAAUGUGUAUGUUUCACUAUGUAUAUAAUCAGAAAAAGUAAAGAAAAACACACCAAACAAAAAAACGUUAAACUGAAUAUCUUACAACAGAGUUUUAAAUUUACUUAUAAAAUGGUCUUCGCUAUGAAAACUUUAGUUCUGUUUGUUUUCACUACUUUUUUCAUCAUAUCUUUUGUUGAUUGUCAUACGACAACUAUGGCUACUACCCCUGCUAGUACUCCUGAUUAUGGAAUAAAUUGGGCGACUGUAGUGUGCUUCCAGAUCUCAACGCCGUGUGAUGUAGCAGGGCGAUAUGGAUGCUCACAGUUUUGUUACCAGUGGAAUUAUUUUUAUGACAGGUGUGAACCGAAUAAAUGUUGUUGUCACAGAUAAGUAGUCUGCGUUCAGAAUAAAAUAAUCUUAUAAAAUAUAUUGGCAUUUGUUUGAAAGUAACAUCAACAACUUUCAUGCUUUAUAUCAAUAUAGGAUCAAGAAUUGAAAUAAAUCAAAA